CCUACGGGAGGCAGCAGUAGGGAAUCUUCCGCAAUGGGCGAAAGCCUGACGGAGCAACGCCGCGUGAGUGAUGAAGGUCUUCGGAUCGUAAAGCUCUGUUGUAAGAGAAGAACGAGUGUGAGAGUGGAAAGUUCACACUGUGACGGUAUCUUACCAGAAAGGGACGGCUAACUACGUGCCAGCAGCCGCGGU
rnacentral:rRNA from 1 species